CCGGCAGAAGAUCGUCAGGGGCAUUUCGGUGAUCAACAUCGAGAACUUCAAAAUCUUCAACGCUCGCAGGAGGUGGAAGAUCACAUUCAGGAUGGUGUCAGCGUGUAACCGUUUCCAGUACAUGAAAAGAUCCCGAGCCAAAGCCCACAAUGAAGAUGAAGCAUUUAGACGGUGUGAGAGUGACCAUGAGGACAGUGAUCGGACUCCUGCGAUCCUCUUCCGAAGACGGAGAAGUAGUUCCUCCUAGCGGGACACAGGUCGGUGUGACAGGAAGGAGCAGAGACCCUCACACCGUGACCAUCAACAGGAACUGAGACUGAAAGAACAGCUUAACCCCAACACACAACCCGGGGUUACCAGGGAAACAUCCCCAU